rnacentral:rRNA from 1 species
GACGAACGCUGGCGGCGUGCUUAACACAUGCAAGUCGAACGGAAAGGCCUUGGUCUUGCGGGGUGCUCGAGUGGCGAAAGGAUGAGUAACCCGUGCGUGACCUGCCGGUGACCCCGGGAUAACUCCAGGAAACUGGGGCUACUACCGGAUAGGAGCUCCUGGUGCAUGGUGGGGGUCGGACAGUUUCGGCGGUUGGGGAUGGACUCGCGGCUUAGCGGCUUGUUGGGGGGGUAGGGGCUCACCAAGGCGUUGACGGGUAGGCGGCCUGAGCGGGUGGCCAGCCACGUUAGGACUGAGAGACGGCCCAGACUCGUACUGUGGGCAGCAGUGGAGAAUAUUGUACAGUAGGCGGAAGCCUGAUGCAGCGACGCCGCGGGCGUGAUGACGGCCUUCGGGGUGUAAACCGCUUUCGCCUGUGACGAAGCGUGAGUGACGGUAAUGGGUAAAGAAGCACCGGCUAACUACGUG